rnacentral:rRNA from 2 species
GACGAACGCUGGCGGCAUGCCUAAUACAUGCAAGUCGAACGAGCUUCCGUUGAAUGACGUGCUUGCACUGAUUUCAACAAUGAAGCGAGUGGCGAACUGGUGAGUAACACGUGGGAAAUCUGCCCAGAAGCAGGGGAUAACACUUGGAAACAGGUGCUAAUACCGUAUAACAACAAAAUCCGCAUGGAUUUUGUUUGAAAGGUGGCUUCGGCUAUCACUUCUGGAUGAUCCCGCGGCGUAUUAGUUAGUUGGUGAGGUAAAGGCCCACCAAGACGAUGAUACGUAGCCGACCCGAGAGGGUAAUCGGCCACAUUGGGACUGAGACACGGCCCAAACUCCUACGGGAGGCAGCAGUAGGGAAUCUUCCACAAUGGACGAAAGUCUGAUGGAGCAAUGCCGCGUGAGUGAAGAAGGGUUUCGGCUCGUAAAACUCUGUUGUUAAAGAAGAACACCUUUGAGAGUAACUGUUCAAGGGUUGACGGUAUUUAACCAGAAAGCCACGGCU